CAAGUCGAGCGGAAACGAUGGUAGCUUGCUACCAGGCGUCGAGCGGCGGACGGGUGAGUAACGCGUGAGAAUCUGCCCAUUUGUGGGGGAUAACUCGGGGAAACUCGAGUUAAUACCGCAUAAUCCCUACGGGGGAAAGCAGGGGACCUUCGGGCCUUGUGCAGAUGGAUGAGCUCGCGUCGGAUUAGCUUGUUGGUGAGGUAAAGGCUCACCAAGGCGACGAUCCGUAGCUGGUCUGAGAGGAUGAUCAGCCACACCGGGACUGAGACACGGCCCGGACUCUUACGGGAGGCAGCAGUGGGGAAUCUUGGACAAUGGGGGCAACCCUGAUCCAGCCAUGCCGCGUGUGUGAAGAAGGCCUUCGGGUUGUAAAGCACUUUCAGUAGGGAGGAAGGCUUGGCAUUAAUACCGC
rnacentral:rRNA from 1 species